AGUGAGCCUGAAAUAUGUGAAGGAUGGCAAAACUGGAAGAUUUCUUGAAAAUUCAAAGAAUUGUUACCUGGUUAAAAUCUGAGGCGGCGUCGGAGUGAACCAGUUCUUUUGGUUUGAAAAAUGUAUCACAAUCCCAACGACACGAUAUUUUAAACAUGGCGUUUGUUCUUUGCUCUAGAUGAUCAUGAUUCAAAAGGAGAGAUCUGGUGUUACCCUCAACCGCAUCGCCAAUAGGAAUCGCAGCAUCCCCAUCGUUUCUAUUCCAUCCAUCCCCAAGAAUUCCUACAGACCGUCAGACCAAUGUCCAGCUUGCUGUAUAAAUACGAUGUGUGACCUAUCCUGGUUGAAGAUUUACAGGAAUUAAUCUUAAAUGAUUCUUGGAUUAUCCUUAGCUUUAUUCUAAUUAUUAGAAGAAUUAUGGUGAUGAAAUGGUAGAAUCGUUAGCGAGUCGAACAAAAUGCUUAGCGGCAUUUCGUUCGUCUUUAAGUUCGGAGUUCAAAUCCUGUCGAGGUCAACUUUGUCUUUCAUCUU